rnacentral:rRNA from 1 species
UCCGGAGGGAGCUAGCGUUGUUCGGAAUUACUGGGCGUAAAGCGCACGUAGGCGGCUUUGUAAGUUAGAGGUGAAAGCCCGGGGCUCAACUCCGGAACUGCCUUUAAAACUGCAUCGCUUGAAUCCGGGAGAGGUGAGUGGAAUUCCGAGUGUAGAGGUGAAAUUCGUAGAUAUUCGGAAGAACACCAGUGGCGAAGGCGGCUCACUGGACCGGUAUUGACGCUGAGGUGCGAAAGCGUGGGGAGCAAACAGG